CAUGUCUUGUGCGGAUGGCGCGAAGGCACAUGUCUACUUCGUUAUACUUUCUUUAUAGAGAAAGAUAUGUUCACGUUUUAAAGUGAUUUUACGACGAGAACGCGAUGCUUUGUGUGGUUGAAUUAACCUGAGCUUCACGCACGAGAGGAGGAUUCGAGGGAUGCCAAUGACUGUUACCUCUGCUCCUUUUGGCCUUCCACGUCUGAGCAUUCUUGGUGGCAUUUUGAUACCUCUAAUUUGGCAAUGGUUUGUAGCUGUAACUUCACCUUUGUCGUGAUCAUCAAUUUCUUCCAAUUCAGAUUUCCUGAUUUGUUCUUGUGAUGUUCCAUCCUCACAGCAACAUGUACCUACAACUGCAUUUUUGGCUUCGUGUUGCUUGUUUUUAACUUGAAUUUUCCUUUAAUUCUAUUCUCCAUGAAAUCAUUUGACUUUGCUCAAAGACAAAUAUCUAUAUUGAUGGGCGUAUACAUCUAAUUAUUACAUAAAGAACAGUUCGGGCAUUUUUCGUUCAAUAGUUCUUGGAUAUCUACUUUCCUUACUUGCCUCUUAAACAUAUUAAUUGAAUUUAAUUCCUUGAUAUCUUUAGGCGGUUUGGACCAGAUAACUGGAUCUAUGUAUCUGAUACUACAUGUAUGUUUACCAUAUGUAUAGUUGUGUUUAUUCUGGGAAUUGUGAAAAAGUGUGAAUUUCGAAGAUUAUAUUCUGUUUUAUUUGGGUUAAAGAGAUCUGCUAUGUAUUUUGUACCUUGUCUUGUUCUUUCUGAUCUACGGUUAUUUCCUCUUUGCUUUCUGUUCUUGUUGGUGCAGUGUUUGCCAGAUCUUGUUUUUCUCUAGCCUCAGCUUGUUGCGUAUCAUUCAUCGCUUCCAUUUCGUCCUCUAGCUGCUCCAGAGUGUCAUCAUGGAAAGAAAUGUACACUUCUUUACCUAACUUCCAGUUUUCGACUAUUUUUCCAAGAAGAUCUAUC